rnacentral:lncRNA from 1 species
UCCACAGUUGCUAUUAACUGUUGUAGUGUCUUGUUCGAUCCUUUAUGCUCACACGCGAGAAUAAUUGGAAGCAGGUAGGAGACACGAUGUCGGACGGCGAGAUUUAAAACCUGGUGUACGCUGCUCAUGCCAUGAGAUGGUGAGGCUGUGAUGGGGCCAAGGUUUUCAUUGUGGCUGUAGAGAUUCAAAUGGUUAGUUUAGAAUUUGUAGACUAAGAGGAAAUUGGAGGAAAGAGAUUGAAACAGAGAUGGAAAAAAUAGGAUUUUGAGGGUAUGGUGAUUCAUGAGUGGUCAACGACAAGGACCUUGAUUGGAAGAUUGAAAUCCCUAAAUUGGAAGAUUAAAAUCCUCUCACUGAAGUACACUGCAAUCCUAAUAGCCCAAUCAGACACCAAUCUCCCACAGAUCAAAACAAGAACCAUAAGCAAUAGGCGACGGUGAAGGCGAGUGACAAUGGUUGAACUGCGGCGGGUGUUAGAAAAGAAGAAAGAAUGAAAUUUAUAUUUCUUAUUUAAUAAUAAGGAGAGAGUACAAUUGAUAUAUAUAUAUAAUUGUUCGGAGCAAUAUAAAAAAGGAAUAUAAGUAUAAAAAUAUAUGAACAUAAAUGCACAGAUAUGAACAAAGAAUAAAAUAAUUCCAAUAUCCCCCCUCAAGCUGCAGCAUAUAUAUCCUUA